AACGAACGCUGGCGGCGUGCUUAACACAUGCAAGUCGAACGGAAAGGCCCUGCUUUUGUGGGGUGCGCUGGUGGCGAAGGGGUAAGUAACACGUGAGUAACCUGCCCUUGACUGUGGGAUAACUUCAGGAAACUGAGGCUAAUACCGGAUAGGAUCUCCUGCUGCAGGGUGGGGGUUGGAAAGUUUCGGCGGUUGGGGAUGGAAUCGCGGCUUAUCAGCUUGUUGGUUGGGUAGUGGAAUACCAAGACUUGGAGCGGUAGCCGGGCUGAGAGGGUGAGCGGCUAAGCCGGGAUGGAGAUAAGGCACAGACCAGACUCGGAGGCAAGGGUGGGGAAGAGUGUACAAUGGGAGGAAGGCUGACGUAGUAACGCAGUGCGGGGGAAGACGGGCUGGGGGUAGGAAUCCGCUGUUGUUUGACACGAAGUGAUAGUGACGGUAACGGGAAAAGAAGCACCGGCUAACUACGUG
rnacentral:rRNA from 1 species